rnacentral:rRNA from 8 species
AGAAGUAGAUAGCUUAACCUUCGGGAGGGCGUUUACCACGGUGUGAUCAAUGACUGGGGUGAAGUCGUAACAAGGUAGCCGUAGGGGAACCUGCGGCUGGAUCACCUCC